rnacentral:rRNA from 1 species
GACGAACGCUGGCGGCGUGCCUAAUACAUGCAAGUCGAGCGGACCAAUAGAAGCUUGCUUCUAUUGGUUAGCGGCGGACGGGUGAGUAACACGUGGGCAACCUGCCUGUAAGACUGGGAUAACUUCGGGAAACCGGAGCUAAUACCGGAUAAUUCAUUCCCUCGCAUGAGGGGGUGCUGAAAGUCGGUUCACGCUGACACUUACAGAUGGGCCUGCGGCGCAUUAGCUAGUUGGUGAGGUAAUGGCUCACCAAGGCGACGAUGCGUAGCCGACCGGGGAGGGUGAUCGGCCACACUGGGACUGAGACACGGCCCAGACUCCUACGGGAGGCAGCAGUAGGGAAUCUUCCACAAUGGACGAAAGUCUGAUGGAGCAACGCCGCGUGAGCGAUGAAGGCCUUCGGGUCGUAAAGCUCUGUUGUUAGGGAAGAACAAGUACCGGAGUAACUGCCGGUACCUUGACGGUACCUAACCAGAAAGCCACGGCUAACUACGUGCCAGCAGCCGCGGUAA